rnacentral:rRNA from 1 species
UCCAGACUCCUACGGGAGGCAGCAGUGGGGAAUAUUGGGCAAUGGGCGCAAGCCUGGCCCAGCAACGCCGCGUGAAGGAAGAAGGCUUUCGGGUUGUAAACUUCUUUUGACAGGGAAGAGUAGAAGACGGUACCUGUCGAAUAAGCCACGGCUAACUACGUGCCAGCAGCCGCGGUAAUACGUAGGUGGCAAGCGUUGUCCGGAUUUACUGGGUGUAAAGGGCGUGUAGCCGGGUUGACAAGUCAGAUGUGAAAUCCUGCGGCUUAACCGCAGAACUGCAUUUGAAACUGUUGAUCUUGAGUACUGGAGAGGCAGACGGAAUUCCUAGUGUAGCGGUGAAAUGCGUAGAUAUUAGGAGGAACACCAGUGGCGAAGGCGGCCUGCUGGACGACAACUGACGGUGAGGCGCGAAAGCGUGGGGAGCAAACAGGAUUAGAUACCCGGGUAAC